rnacentral:rRNA from 1 species
UACGUAGGGUGCAAGCGUUAAUCGGAAUUACUGGGCGUAGAGCGUGCGCAGGCGGUUUUGUAAGUCUGACGUGAAAUCCCCGGGCUCAACCUGGGAAUUGCGUUGGAGACUGCAAGGCUGGAGUCUGGCAGAGGGGGGUAGAAUUCCACGUGUAGCAGUGAAAUGCGUAGAGAUGUGGAGGAACACCGAUGGCGAAGGCAGCCCCCUGGGUCAAGACUGACGCUCAUGCACGAAAGCGUGGGGAGCAAACAGG